AUUGAACGCUGGCGGCAUGCCUUACACAUGCAAGUCGAACGGCAGCGGGGGAGGAGCUUGCUUUUCCUGCCGGCGAGUGGCGAACGGGUGAGUAAUACAUCGGAACGUGCCCUGUAGUGGGGGAUAACUAGUCGAAAGAUUAGCUAAUACCGCAUACGACCUGAGGGUGAAAGUGGGGGACCGCAAGGCCUCAUGCUAUAGGAGCGGCCGAUGUCUGAUUAGCUAGUUGGUGGGGUAAAGGCCUACCAAGGCGACGAUCAGUAGCUGGUCUGAGAGGACGAUCAGCCACACUGGGACUGAGACACGGCCCAGACUCCUACGGGAGGCAGCAGUGGGGAAUUUUAGACAAUGGGCGAAAGCCUGAUCCAGCAAUGCCGCGUGUGUGAAGAAGGCCUACGGGUUGUAAAGCACUUUUGUCCGGAAAGAAAUGGCUCUGGUUAAUACCUGGGGUCCAUGACGGUACCGUAAGAAUAAGCACCGGCUAACUACGUGCCAGCCGCCGCAGUAA
rnacentral:rRNA from 1 species